CUGGCGGCAAGCUUAACACAUGCAAGUCGAACGGAUUAUUCUUUAUAGCUUGCUAUAAAGAAUAAUUAGUGGCAGACGGGUGAGUAAUGCAUAGGAAUCUACCUAGUAGUAUGGGAUAGCCACUAGAAACGAUGAGUAACACUGCAUAAUCCCUGCGGGGGAAAGAUUUAUCGCUAUUAUAUGAGCCUAUGUUAGAUUAGCUAGUUGGUGGGGUAAUGGCCCACCAAGGCUGUGAUCUUUAGCUGGUCUGAGAGGAUGAUCAGCCACUCCGUAACUGCGGAAAGGCCCACACUCCCCCCGGAGGCGCAGUGGGGAAUAUUGGACAAUGGGGGGCAGGCUCAUCCAGCUAUUCUGACUGACGGGCGAAGGCUUUAGCGCUGUAAAACUCCUUAAUUAAGAAAAAUAACGACGGUACCAACCAAAGAAGACCCGGCAAUCUCCGUGCCACCAGUCGCCCUAAUACGGAGGCGGCAAGCGUUGUUCGGAAUUAUAGGGCGUAAACGUCAUGAAGGCGGCUCGGUACAUUAAAGGGGAAAUGCCAGGGCUUCAUCCUGGAGCUGCUAUUUAUACUGCCGGACUAGAGUACAGGAGAAGAUGACGGAAUUCCUAGUAUAGAGGUGAAAUUCCUCAUUAUUAGGAGGAACACCAGUGGCGAAGGCGGCUAUCUGGUCCGGUACUACCGCUGCGGGGAGAAAGGGUGGGGAGCAAACAGGAUUAGAUACCCUGGUAGUCCACGCUGUAAACGAUGAGUGCU
rnacentral:rRNA from 1 species